GAGCCCGAAUUGCGGAAGGCCAGCUGACGAGUCUUAACUGACGGCUAAGCCGAAGGUGCGGGUAUCGAACAGGAAUUAGAUACCUUGGUAGUCGGCACGGUAAACGAUGGAUGCCCGCUGUUGGCGAUAUACUGUCAGCGGCCAAGCGAAAGCGUUAAGCAUCCCACCUGGGGAGUACGCCGGCAACGGUGAAACUCAAAGGAAUUGACGGGGGCCCGCACAAGCGGAGGAACAUGUGGUUUAAUUCGAUGAUACGCGAGGAACCUUACCCGGGCUUGAACUGCAGCGGAAGGAUACAGAGAUGUUGACGCCCUUCGGGGCCGCUGUGGAGGUGCUGCAUGGUUGUCGUCAGCUCGUGCCGUGAGGUGUCGGCUUAAGUGCCAUAACGAGCGCAACCCUUUUCAUUAGUUGCCAUCAGGUAAUGCUGGGCACUCUGGUGAUACUGCCACCGUAAGGUGUGAGGAAGGUGGGGAUGACGUCAAAUCAGCACGGCCCUUACGUCCGGGGCUACACACGUGUUACAAUGGGUGGUACAGAGAGCCGGCCGUACGCAAGUACGGUCCAAUCAAGAAAGCCAUCCUCAGUUCGGACUGGGGUCUGCAACCCGACCCCACGAAGCUGGAUUCGCUAGUAAUCGCGCAUCAGCCAUGGCGCGGUGAAUACGUUCCCGGGCCUUGUACACACCGCCCGUCAAGCCAUGAAAGCCGGGGGCGCUUGAAGUCCGUGACCGCAAGGAUCGGCCUAGAGCGAAACUGGUAAUUGGGGCUAAGUAGUAACAAGGUAACCGU
rnacentral:rRNA from 1 species